rnacentral:rRNA from 1 species
UACAGAGGGUGCGAGCGUUAAUCGGAAUUACUGGGCGUAAAGCGUGCGUAGACGGUAGCGUAAGUCAGAUGUGAAAGCCCCGGGCUCAACCUGGGAAUUGCAUUUGAGACUGCUCUGCUCGGGUGCGGAAGAGGGAAGCGGAAUUUCCGGUGUAGCGGCGAAAUGCGUAGAUAUCGGAAGGAACACCAGUGGCGAAAGCGGCUUCCUGGUCCGACACCGACGUUCAGGCACGAAAGCGUGGGGAGCAAACAGG